UUUUCAUUAAUAUUAGCAUAUUAGUUUAUUAUUAAUAUUAUUUAUAUAUAUAUACAAAAAACAAUAUUAAUAAAUAAUAUAUAUAUAUAUUAUUUAUUAAUAUUGUUUUUCACCCCUUCUAUCUGCCUGGUCAUACGUAUGACAGUGUUCUAACAACAGUUAUUAGCUGAAUGCAUUAAUAAAUGACAAUUCACAAUGAACAUAAAUACAUAAAGAAUUGUUCUUCGCCCUUGUUAUGAUUAAAAAUGUGUUCCUGUGGCUCAGUGGUAGAGCAUUGUGUUAGCAGGAAAGGAAGGCCUUUGGAGGAGUAUGUGGAGGAGUUCUUGAGCUUGAUACCUCUGGUGAGUUGGAGCGAAUCCACGCUUAAUGCAUGCUUCCGGAUGGGAUGACAAUCUGUUUUGUUUUUUGACUCCUGAAGAUUGCUGCAGACCCAUAGCAGAUUUUAUUAAUUAUGUUCUCGAAUUAAAUGGUUCCAAGUUCUUUGUCGACAUGGAGGAUCCUUAUCCUCCUCCCAUCCGGAAGCAUGUGGGUGCUCCAGCUCACCAUAAGCCAGCUCCCUCCACCUACCACUUCAAAAAACCCACUCCCUCCUUUACUUCAGCCCUUCCCCGAGACCUCCAGAUCUCCUCCCUGGUCCUUAGCAUAGAAUCUCCUGUGUCUCCGCUGGUUCUGCCCAGCAUAGAAUCCCCUGUGUCUCCCCUUGUCCUGUCCAUCCCUUCCUCAUCUCCUAAGCAUCCCAACCUCCUAUUAUGCCCAGGAGGGGCUUCCGAUCCCCAGUUAAGCCCAGGAGGGGCUCCCGAUCCCCAGUUAAGCCCAGGAGGGGCUCCCGAUUCCCCGUCAAGCCCAAGCACAAUGGUAAACACAAAACUCAAAACCGAAAUGGAAACUCUAGAGUAACUCUAAGACAAUAUCUACAAACAGAAUCUAUUCAUUUGUGCAAUACUUUUUCCCCAUCAUAUUUUCUAGUGUGAUGGGGAAAGGCUGUCAGCGCUCUUACAAAAGGGGCAUUAGCAGGCCCAGUGUCACAACUCCCCGCUGAGGUAAUGGCCCUGCCGACCUUCCAACAGUAUCAAGCAUGUCGAAAUUAACGCUGCCAGUCGGUGGGACGGACUUCUGCGAACUCCUAUCCGCCGCUUCUCCUCAACAGCUAACUAGCCCUUGUUCUACUCAGAUCUGAUCCAAACCUAUUCAUAAAUAUGCUCUGUAUGAAUAGCACAAAAUAGCAUAUUGUUUAUGCUAACAAAUAGGGCUUGGGCGUCGUGACGUCAUUACUUGGCGUGGCCGACAUGAUAUAUUCACACAAAGUGUAAAGAUUUUAUUAAUCUCAAAGUCUUUAUUAAUCAGAUUAGUGCCAUAUGUUUACUCGCUGUAUUAUAUCGGUCAUCCGAGGCUGUCUUUGAGUUUCAUUGCAUUUAACUAAAUGAACACACCUGCUAACUAGGGUGAUUAAACGAUAUCUGUCAUGUGACGUGCCAUAGUCCUUGGAUCAGGUUUAUAUUCGUAUCAGGUUCAAAGAUGUAAGUUGUAUUUGUGGUAAAAUCAUGGUGACCACGACACUAACAAUAGUAACAAAUGAAAUUUGAAGUUAAAACCCAGUAAACAGGACAUUUUCACAUCUUUCUACCACAGUAACUGUAGUUUUACUAUGGUAUAGUAAUAGCACAAUAAUCACCAAACCAACUAUGGUUGUACCACUGUAAUGGUAGUUUUGAUGUGCUUUUAUAUGACAGAUAUCACAGUAAUCAUAUUUACUGUACCAUGCUUGUAAUACCUUUUAAUGUAAAAAUCCAAAAAGAAAAAAAAAAAACUAUUUAUUUCCAUCUUGCAGUUCAUUCAUAUCAGUUUAUAUCUUAAAUAUUUUGCUCACAGAUGAUUAUUAACAUUCUGUAUAUAAUUC
ensembl:lncRNA